rnacentral:tRNA from 1 species
GGACAGGUGGCCGAGUGGUUGAAGGCAACGGUCUCGAAAACCGUCAUACGGGCAACCGUAUCGAGAGUUCGAAUCUCUCCCUGUCUG